CUAGAUUCUCUAAAGGAACCUUUAACAAUGCAUGACGUGUUAAUUGAAACCCCAUGAUUCCGACAUCUUGAAGGCAACGUGUUAUGGAAAACUUCUCUGGAGCAGAAGUAGCCAGUCUUUUGAGGGAGGGGGAAAUCAGCAAGGCCAAAGCUAAAAAGUGGGGCAGAUAUUCCCUUUAAUCUUUCCACCCAAUGUAGCAGACUAUCAAGAAAGGAAAAUAUCACUAAUGCCAGAGAUGUCAAAUCAAUGCUUCAAAGCCUUUUGAAUUAGACUAAUGGCCUCAUCUACUUAGGCCAAGGGGCAGGGACACUCAGCUACUUUUGUUUACACAACAGUAAUCCAAAGUUAUCUAAGAACUGUCAUAUGUUAAAUGCUGGGGUUGACCUUCCAGUUGAUCAGGAACUUGCAACUGAGGUAGAAUGUGGUAGCUAGGUUGUGAAUAGGGCACCUAACUGUGCAGAGCUGUGCUGGAAUUAUACUACAGCUAAACUAAGUUCCUGGCCGCCUAUUAGCUAAUCAGGUAGAUCCUAAACAACUUGGAAUUAGGACAACUUGUGGCAGUCUAUCUUUGCUAUUAUACUACAGGUCUAGUUAGUCACCAAGAUCAUCAGUAAGAUCUUGCUGAAAUUCCAAAGUUCCCAACAGGAAAUCUUCUUUCUGUUACAGUGGCACUCCUUCAGCCCAGUAGAGGGAAAAUAUUGCAGCCAUGUUUCCUUCUUGCCAACAUGCAACCAUCUUUGUGAUCCAAAGCAGCCUUCUGUGAAGUCAAGCCACAGGGUGAGACUGGACUCAGCUGAUAUUAAUCUUCAGCAACACUGCCUGAUCAUCAGAGAGGUUUACAAAAACACUCCAUCCCUCCUUACCCUACAAUUCAGAGGAAGCCUAAAGCCUCAUUAGAAUAUGGAAGACUUUAAAAGUUGUCUGGCUCUUAAAACCCCAUUAAUAUAUAAUAUAAUUCUUUCUCUUUUCUUUUUGGACACUCUAUGCUGCCAGGAAGGAAAAAAAAUAUGACACUAUGAAAACCACGAGCUCCUUCUAAGAGGGAGUUGUGGCGUGUCAGUCAAUUAAUUUGAAACGCCAUAGGCUCCUG